rnacentral:misc_RNA from 1 species
CAUUAAUUGACAAGUUAAGGAGCGCUGUGACAGCAUUUUCCUGAAUCAUUAUGUCAGUUGAUCGAAGAAAGUUAACUAACAAGUUAAUGGCCCCACAGCUUGCUAUAACAAUCCUAUUGUCCAUGUUGUGUUUGGCAAGUAGCCUGAGGUCAGCUGUUGCCUCUCUUUGAGUAUCAACUGAAUCACUUUUCAAGUCCUCAAUCAGCUUUCGAACUUUGGUUUCAACACCAGAAAGAUCAGCCCUCGUUUCCAUAGCAGGAGAAGAAACUAUCCUUGGAACAAGCCUAUCUG